GACGAACGCUGGCGGCGUGCCUAAUACAUGCAAGUUGAGCGCUGAAGGUUGGUACUUGUACCAACUGGAUGAGCAGCGAACGGGUGAGUAACGCGUGGGGAAUCUGCCUUUGAGCGGGGGACAACAUUUGGAAACGAAUGCUAAUACCGCAUAAAAACUUUAAACACAAGUUUUAAGUUUGAAAGAUGCAAUUGCAUCACUCAAAGAUGAUCCCGCGUUGUAUUAGCUAGUUGGUGAGGUAAAGGCUCACCAAGGCGAUGAUACAUAGCCGACCUGAGAGGGUGAUCGGCCACAAUGGGACUGGGACACGGCCCAAACUCCUACGGGAGGCAGCAGUAGGGAAUCUUCGGCAAUGGACGAAAGUCUGACCGAGCAACGCCGCGUGAGGGAAGAAGGUUUUCGGAUCGUAAAACUCUGUUGGUAGAGAAGAACGUUGGUGAGAGUGGAAAGCUCAUCAAGUGACGGUAACUACCCAGAAAGGGACGGCUAACUACGUG
rnacentral:rRNA from 1 species